UACGAAGGGGGCUAGCGUUGCUCGGAAUUACUGGGCGUAAAGGGCGCGUAGGCGGCCCGCUUAGUCAGGCGUGAAAUUCCUGGGCUUAACCUGGGGACUGCGCUUGAGACGGGUGGGCUUGAGGGCAGGAGAGGCUCGCGGAAUUCCCAGUGUAGAGGUGAAAUUCGUAGAUAUUGGGAAGAACACCGGUGGCGAAGGCGGCGAGCUGGCCUGUGAC
rnacentral:rRNA from 1 species